AGAGUUUGAUCCUGGCUCAGAUUGAACGCUGGCGGAAUGCUUUACACAUGCAAGUCGAACGGCAGCACGGACUUCGGUCUGGUGGCGAGUGGCGAACGGGUGAGUAACAUAUCGGAACGUAUCCAAUAAUGGGGGAUAACUAAUCGAAAGGUUGGCUAAUACCGCAUACGCCCUACGGGGGAAAGCUAGGGACCUUCGGGCCUGGCGUUAAUGGAGCGGCCGAUAUCUGAUUAGCUAGUUGGUGAGGUAAAGGCUCACCAAGGCGACGAUCAGUAGCUGGUCUGAGAGGACGACCAGCCACACUGGAACUGAGACACGGUCCAGACUCCUACGGGAGGCAGCAGUGGGGAAUUUUGGACAAUGGGCGCAAGCCUGAUCCAGCCAUUCCGCGUGAGUGAAGAAGGCCUUCGGGUUGUAAAGCUCUUUCGCAAGGGAAGAAAACUUAGUUACUAAUAUUAACUGAGGUUGACGGUACCUUGAUAAGAAGCACCGGCUAACUACGUGCCAGCAGCCGCGGUAAUACGUAGGGUGCGAGCGUUAAUCGGAAUUACUGGGCGUAAAGCGUGCGCAGGCUGUUUUGUAAGUCAGAUGUGAAAUCCCCGAGCUCAACUUGGGAACUGCGUUUGAAACUACAAGACUAGAAUAUGUCAGAGGGGGGUAGCAUUCCACGUGUAGCAGUGAAAUGCGUAGAGAUGUGGAGGAAUAUCAAUGGCGAAGGCAGCCCCCUGGGAUAAUAUUGACGCUCAUGCACGAAAAGCGUGGGGAGCAAACAGGAUUAGAUACCCUGGUAGUCCACGCCC
rnacentral:rRNA from 1 species